ensembl:lncRNA
CAUGACACGCACAGAGACCAUCUGCAUCUCUCACACCCAAACACUAACAACUCCGCUGGAUACCAGCACAGCUCCUCAUUUCAUGGAUUAGAAUUUGGAUUAGAAGGACGGACAGAGAUGGGCAACAUUUCACCUAAUCUCAUGAAGCUUUUCUGCCUGCCCAUGAACAGCAAUUAAACUUGCAUUUCUUCUAAAGACUUCACAAAGGACAAAAGAUAACCCCAUUUCAGAGCAACAUUCUCUGUAUGAACAUUCUGAGCAGACACUGGUGGUAAUCCAAUGAAAAUCUGUCACCGUAGCCACCCAGAUCCAGUACGUAUCAGGAUCAGAUGGUGGAUCAGCACCUAAAGACUGUCACCCGAGACCAUGUCAACUAGAAGCAUCCCAGAGACAGAUCCUCUCUAAAGACUUCAUCACCUUGACAACCAUCACCAUCACCAGACCACAGGAACCAGACAAGUCCUCUGCACCUGUGUUGGAGGCUGGAAUUACCACACCAUGCUGGUUUCGUCAUGCCAGCGGAGAACUUGCCCCCCUGACUGAGCCUGGUUUCUCCCAAUGUUUUUUCUCUAUUUCUGUCACCGAUGGAGUUUUGUACAACCCAAAGAUCUAGAUUAGCUGUUUAAAUUUUAUUUUAUUAAAAACAAUCUAGAAGAAGCAUCAGCUCAAUGAAGUAAGGAUAAAUCCAUCCUUCCAUUAUUUCAAUGUCACAACAUAUUUCUGAACUUUUAUUAAUUAAUGAUUAAAAUCUUACAGUGAUUGGCUAACAUCUUAUGUUGUGCAUUUCUACCAUCCAACCCUACUGGUGGCUGAUGAAAUAUUUUAAGAAUUAUAUAUUGAAUAAGCAUUGGUUAACCAUUCAGACCAGACAUCUAUUUUACUAGAGAAAGCAAUAUUAUGGAUAGAGAACUUGUGUGGAUUACUUUUUGAUUAUUGUGAUGUUUUUUUUUAUUUAUUUUUUUGACUCUCAUUUUGAUGGCACCCAUUCACUGCAGAAAAUCCACUGAUUAGCAAGUGAUGUAAUGCUAAAUUUCUCCAAAUCACAUUUAAUUUUACCUUGAUGGGUUUUGACUUUUUAAUGCCUUGAUAGAUUAAAUCAGUGUAGGUCAAGAGUACACAAUUUAUGUGACACCACCAAAUUAUGACCCAAAAAUAAACCUGUAACAACCAACUCCGAACUCUCCA